UCCUCCCUCCGCCUCUCCCUGCUUUUGCUGGCUCUGCUUUCAUUCUAACCUCCCCCUCCUCUUCCCUCAAGGGAAUAAAGGUCAUUGCGCAAAUGAUUACUCAGACCUCGGUAGCCAUGGAAACGUGGUCAUGUGACAGGGACAGGCAUGCAUCGAGCACAACAAAGGAGCCGAUUAGUAAGCCAGCGAUGGAAAGCUAGCGCCUGCCUUUGUGUGCUUGCGUUCUCUGUAUUUCGCUCUAUCUCUCCCUUUCUCUGCCUAUGUGUUCAACUUGCUGGGGGAGGGAGAGAAGGAGUGCGCAAAAGAAAGCCUAGCAUGCUGCUUCUACCAGCGUUUCGCUUUGUUUAAACUAGCAGUUUGUCUUUGGUUUUAUCAUUAGAGAUUAACACUGACAUUUAGGCGCAUUUGCACAAGUUUAACCAAUCGGUUUGACCGAAGAAGUGUGUCCUAAAUCUUAAACCUUAAUUGAAAAGGCCGCUUCAUUGGGUGAAAUUAAAUGUAGAAGGUGACAUCAGGGAUACACUAAUGAUGGUAAAACUAGUUUUAAACAAAGUCCCUGUCAAGAAAAUUCAACUGACUCUGUGGCCAUAUUUGCAAAGCCUCCGGACAGCUAUUUUGGUACAGUCAAGUAGCUCUCAAGCGGAUAUUUAAGUUAUAAAGUGGGACUUGCAUCACCAGAGCUGCCUUGGAGCCACCAUAUUGUGCAUUGCAGUUUCUUCCAUUCUUACCAACUUGAUGAAGACAUGCUUCUUUUUCAUAAUGAUCAUCCUAGCUAAAGCAGCCAGAGAGAGUCAGAGAGGAACGUCACAUUUUUGAUUUUGACAGGACAGAAGAGUAUCCUGAACAUUUCAUCUUAGCACUGUUUGUGCACACUGUGUACAUACGUGGGGGCAAGUAUGUGCGUGUGACUGUGUCUGCGUGUUUCAAGGGAUGGUGUAUCAGAUUGCCUUUGAAGCAACAAAAAACAUGAGUUGAGUCUGGGCACACACUCUGUUAUGACUGCACAGCUGUUUCCAAAGCUCAGCAGCAGACAGAGAGGCCUGUGGGUUAGUCCAGGGGCCUGUGGGUGGGGGCUGAGCCAACUGGCCCUCAUGUUUGGCCUUCUUGGUUAUUAAGUGCUACGGCGGAGCUGGAACCAGACUGUCCAAAGCCAAAGGGCUAGAUGGACAAUAAAUGUGGUGUGUUUGAAAUUGUCCAGAGGAAAGUAUAAUAGAUUUGAGGCUGCAGGUGAACUGUUUAAUAGAGAAAUAGUAAUUGUCAACAAAGAGACUGUGUGUGUGCGUGUGCAUAAGAGAGAUUCAUCAUUUAUAUGAUUUCAUAAUUUAAAAAAGAAUAAAGAUAUUUUAGUGCGACUCAAAGUAAUGCGUGUAAUGUUAACAUAUAAAAGAAUAGAUUGAACACUUGUAAUCACAGGCAAUAUCUAUAUAAUAGCUUUGAUGAUAGCUUAAUAAGCGCACCAGUAAUUCAGUGUAUUGUUUCUUUGUAUUCUAAUCUUGUGUUUGACUUAAAACGGUUUCUUAAAUCUGUUUGGAUUUGGAGUCUUCCAUAGUCAUUUCCAUGUUACUUGAUUUGCAACUCAAUUACAAAAGUCAGUUUUUCCCCCCGGCCAUACAAUAAAGGUAUGUAAGGUAGUAAAUUAUUUCAAAGAAAAGUUAUUUAUUUAUUUUUUAAGUAUUUGAACAAUUGGAUAUCUGAAUGUAUUGGCAGCAUCUUAAAUGUUUUCCACAUGCACAGUACUAUUUAAAUGUUUGAAGUCUCUCAUGCUCACCAUUACUACAUUUGUAUGAGCA